rnacentral:rRNA from 1 species
UACAGAGGUCCCAAGCGUUGUUCGGAUUCACUGGGCGUAAAGGGUGCGUAGGUGGUCGGGUAAGUCUGAUGUGAAAUCUCCGAGCUCAACUCGGAAAUGGCAUUGGAUACUAUUCGGCUAGAGGAGUGGAGGGGGGACUGGAAUACUUGGUGUAGCAGUGAAAUGCGUAGAUAUCAAGUGGAACACCAGUGGCGAAGGCGAGUCCCUGGACACUUCCUGACACUGAGGCACGAAAGCUAGGGGAGCAAACAGG